CCUACGGGUGGCAGCAGUGGGGAAUAUUGGGCAAUGGGCGCGAGCCUGACCCAGCCACGCCGCGUGAAGGAAGACGGCUUUCUGGUUGUUAACCUCUUUUAAGAGGGAAGUGAAGAAGACGGUACCUCUUGAAUAAUCCACGGCUAACUACGUGCCAGCAGCCGCGGUAAUACGUAGGUUCCAAGCGUUAUCCGGAUUUACUGGGUUGAAAGGGCGUGUAGCCGGGCUGACAAGUCAGAUGUGAAAGUCCGGGGCUCAACCGCGGACCUGCAUUUGAAACUGUUAGUCUUGAGUAUCGGAGAGGCAGGCGGAAUUCGUGGUGUAGCGGUGAAAUGCGUAGAUAUUAGGAGGAACACCAGUGGCGAAGGCAGCUUGCUGGACGACAACUGACGGUGAGGCGCGAAAGCGUGGGGAGCAAACAGGAUUAGAUACCCUGGUAGUC
rnacentral:rRNA from 1 species